rnacentral:rRNA from 1 species
UGGGGAAUUUUGGACAAUGGGCGAAAGCCUGAUCCAGCAAUGCCGCGUGUGUGAAGAAGGCCUUCGGGUUGUAAAGCACUUUUGUCCGGAAAGAAAUCCUUGGCUCUAAUACAGUCGGGGGAUGACGGUACCGGAAGAAUAAGCACCGGCUAACUACGUGCCAGCAGCCGCGGUAAUACGUAGGGUGCAAGCGUUAAUCGGAAUUACUGGGCGUAAAGCGUGCGCAGGCGGUUUGCUAAGACCGAUGUGAAAUCCCCGGGCUCAACCUGGGAACUGCAUUGGUGACUGGCAGGCUAGAGUAUGGCAGAGGGGGGUAGAAUUCCACGUGUAGCAGUGAAAUGCGUAGAGAUGUGGAGGAAUACCGAUGGCGAAGGCAGCCCCCUGGGCCAAUACUGACGCUCAUGCACGAAAGCGUGGGGAGCAAACAGGAUUAGAUACCCUGGUAGUCCACGCCCUAAAACGAUGUCAACUAGCUGUUGGGGAUUCAUUUCCUUAGUAACGUAGCUAACGCGUGAAGUUGACC